rnacentral:rRNA from 1 species
AAUAGAUACCCGGGUAGUCCACGCCGUAAACGAUGAGUGCUAAGUGUUGGGGGGUUUCCGCCCUCAGUGCUGCAGCUAACGCAUUAAGCACUCCGCCUGGGGAGUACGGUCGCAAGACUGAAACUCAAAGGAAUUGACGGGGGCCCGCACAAGCGGUGGAGCAUGUGGUUUAAUUCGAAGCAACGCGAAGAACCUUACCAGGUCUUGACAUCCCGGUGACCACUAUGGAGACAUAGUUUCCCCUUCGGGGGCAACGGUGACAGGUGGUGCAUGGUUGUCGUCAGCUCGUGUCGUGAGAUGUUGGGUUAAGUCCCGCAACGAGCGCAACCCUUAUUCUUAGUUGCCAUCAUUCAGUUGGGCACUCUAAGGAGACUGCCGGUGAUAAACCGGAGGAAGGUGGGGAUAACGUCAAAUCAUCAUGCCCCUCAUGACCUGGGCUACACACGUGCUACAAUGGACGGUACAAACGGUUGCCAACCCGCGAGGGGAGCUAAUCCGAUAAAACCGUUCUCAGUUCGGAUUGUAGGCUGCAACUCGCCUACA